CAGUUCUCCUGCUCAGAGAGAUGGUGGAAAGGAUGGAAUCUAAUAAACUUCCAACACUUGAACUCACAAACAAUCACCUGGUUGAUGAAGAUCAUCUACAAUUCUUGGUAUCAAAUCUUCUUCUCUGAUUUCUUCAAGAAGUAAAUAUCAUUUUCUGAUUGAGUUUCUGGUUUAACUGAGGUGGGUUGUCAAUCAAAUGUGGAAAAGGAGAUGAUUCUCUGUCGAUUUAUGUUCCCAGAAAAGGUAAGUUCUUUAGGGAAAUUCUUGGACACUUUCAGCUUUCGACGGAACAUUAAUAUGGUCCAUUACCGUGCACAGGUUUAAACUAAUGCAAAUGUACUGGUGAGUUUCCAAGUUGCAUCCUUGGAGAUAGAUGAGUUGAAGACUUUGGCUGACAGUCUAGGAUAUGUUUAUGCAUUCGAGACAGAAAACAAAGCCUUGAAAUUUUAUAUAAUUAAGUAAUUAUUUCUCAUAUUAUAUAAGCCUCCUUGUCUGCAACCCACUUGGAACAUGAUUAUCAAAAACAAGCAAAGACCAAAUAAAUUAUAGAGAACAUUUAAAUCAA